rnacentral:rRNA from 1 species
ACCCUAUUAUUAUUAGUUUAAAGUAUGAUGGGGGAUUACGAGCAAUAGCUUAAAAACCCAAGAAUUUGGCGGUGUCUUAUUCAAUCAGGGGAAUCUGUCUCGUAAUCGAUAGCCCACGAAUAAUAUAUCUACCUUUAAAAAUUAGUUUGUGUACUGCCGACUAUAUAGGCCCUUAAAGCAUCCUAUAAAAAAUUUUUAAAUUGUAUGUCAGGUCAAAGUGCAGCUUACAUGUAGAAGAAGAUGGAUUACAGUCUAUAUAAUAGGCUAGAUUAUAGUAUAGUACUAUAUUCAAGAAGAACUUGAUAGUAAUUGUAUUUAUAAAAUAUCAUGAAACUGAACUUAAGACAA